rnacentral:lncRNA from 1 species
UAUUUAUUUACUUAUUUAUUCACAGCUACCUUUCAGAGAGCAGGCACUUGUGCUAGAAAAAGGCUGUGCACCAGAGUUUGGUAAACAUGGCACAGGCUGCCCAGGGCAGUGGGCACAGCCCUGAGUGCAGGAGUUCAGGAAGUAUUUAGGCAACGUUCUCAGAUAUAGGGUUUGAAUGUUGGGUGGUCCCAUGUAGAGCCAGGGAUUGGACUCCAUGGUCCUUAUAGGGCCCUUCCAGCGUGUGAUAUUUUGUGUUUCUGUGCAUGUGGUGUCACCCAGCAAAUUUUGUAAUGCUGGUGUCUUAAUAACUAAUAUUAAUAACUAAUAUUGUUGUUUCUUCUCUGAGUAUUGCUGACUUGGAAAUAAUUGCAAAUAUAUGCUUUUCCAGCAUUCCAGGAUAAUGUAAGCAUUACUAAACGUAAAAAACAGCUAAUUUUGGUAUGUUUCUGUUCCCUUUCUUUCCCAUACCAAGCAUAGAAUUGUGACCCAAAUUAACACGGGAACUGGCAGAAGGGACUGCAUGGCGCCAGCCACUGAGGUUAAUUUUGUGCCAUGUGAUGUGGCAGAUGUCUGAUCUGUUGUUAUUUGACUGGUUUUUGUCAGGUGCUUCCCUCCUCCUGUCAUAAUGCCCAAAGUAAAGCUGGUUUAUGUUCCAAAGGGUUGGUUUGCGUGCAUUUUUAUUUUAGUUUAGUUUUUGAAAGAAGGAAAAAAAAAACAUUUAUUUUCCUUGGGGAUUUAGGGAAUAAGACUUUCUUACUCUUUCUUUGUCCUGAAUUCUUUAAUACUGUGAUCUAGUUUCCUCUUGAGCCUCCCCUAAUGUCCUAUUACAGAGGUCUGUCAUCAAGAGAUCACAAAGGAAGUCAUCACAAGAAGAUCCAUCUUUAGCUAAACUGCUUUGAAGAAGGAAGACAUUCAGGAAUGCACAUGGAGAGGCAAUGCCUCUGCCUCCUGCUUCAGCUUCAGUCAGAUGCUUGUGUUCUCAUGUUGCAGCUUAUGAGCUGCAGAGAGAUGGACAGAAAAUGACGCUUUUACAACAUCUAUGCCAAGGGACAAGAUAAUCUCUAGCCUUCAGCUCUGAAAAACUUCCAAGAUGUAAAGAAUUUCCAGUAUGCAAAUCUUCAAUUUCA